rnacentral:rRNA from 1 species
UGGCCUACGGGGGGCAGCAGUGAGGAAUAUUGGUCAAUGGGCGGAAGCCUGAACCAGCCAAGUCGCGUGAGGGAAUAAGGCCCUACGGGUCGUAAACCUCUUUUGCCGGGGAGCAAGGGCCGGGACGCGUCCCGGCCCGGAGAGUACCCGGAGAAAAAGCAUCGGCUAACUCCGUGCCAGCAGCCGCGGUAAUACGGAGGAUCCAAGCGUUAUCCGGAUUUAUUGGGUUUAAAGGGUGCGUAGGCGGUUUUAUAAGUUAGAGGUGAAAUCUCGGGGCUCAACUCCGAAAUUG